rnacentral:tRNA from 2 species
CCCUUCUUAGCUCAGCUGGAAGAGCGCAAGACUGUAAUGGUAACAACGUCUCAUCUUGAGGCCCGCGGUUCGAUCCCGCGAGAGGGGA